UUAUUAUGAUCGUUGCAUAAUUCAGCAGAUGAAAUCAUGAAGAGUUUACCUUUCGUCUAAUGUAUCC
rnacentral:snoRNA from 1 species